UACAGAGGGGGCAAGCGUUGUUCGGAAUUACUGGGCGUAAAGGGCGCGUAGGCGGCCUGCUAAGUCGAACGGGAAAUCCCCGGGCUCAACCCGGGAACUGCGUCCGAUACUGGCAGGCUUGAAUCCGGGAGAGGGAUGUGGAAUUCCAGGUGUAGCGGUGAAAUGCGUAGAUAUCUGGAGGAACACCGGUGGCGAAGGCGGCAUCCUGGACCGGUAUUGACGCUGAUGCGCGAAAGCCAGGGGAGCAAACGGG
rnacentral:rRNA from 1 species